rnacentral:rRNA from 1 species
AGAGUUUGAUCAUGGCUCAGGACGAACGCUGGCGGCGCGCCUAACACAUGCAAGUCGAACGAGAGAUGAGGAGCUUGCUCUUCAAAUCGAGUGGCGAACGGGUGAGUAACGCGUGAGGAACCUGCCUCAAANAGGGGGACAACAGUUGGAAACGACUGCUAAUACCGCAUAAGCCCACGGCUCGGCAUCGAGCAGAGGGAAAAGGAGCGAUCCGCUUUGAGAUGGCCUCGCGUCCGAUUAGCUAGUUGGUGAGGUAACGGCCCACCAAGGCGACGAUCGGUAGCCGGACUGAGAGGUUGAACGGCCACAUUGGGACUGAGACACGGCCCAGACUCCUACGGGAGGCAGCA